GACGAACGCUGGCGGCGUGCCUAAUACAUGCAAGUCGAGCGGAUGAGAAAGGAGCUUGCUCCUUUCGAUUCAGCGGCGGACGGGUGAGUAACACGUGGGCAACCUGCCUGUAAGACUGGGAUAACUCCGGGAAACCGGGGCUAAUACCGGAUAACUCAUGAGACUGCAUAGUCUGAUGAUAAAAGAUGGUUAUGCUAUCACUUACAGAUGGGCCCGCGGCGCAUUAGCUAGUUGGUGAGGUAACGGCUCACCAAGGCGACGAUGCGUAGCCGACCUGAGAGGGUGAUCGGCCACACUGGGACUGAGACACGGCCCAGACUCCUACGGGAGGCAGCAGUAGGGAAUCUUCCGCAAUGGACGAAAGUCUGACGGAGCAACGCCGCGUGAGCGAUGAAGGCCUUCGGGUCGUAAAGCUCUGUUGUUAGGGAAGAACAAGUAUGAGUUAACUGCUCAUACCGUGACGGUACCUAACGAGAAAGCCACGGCUAACUACGUGNCAGCAGCGCGGUAAUACGUAAGUGGCAAGCGUUGUCCGGAUUUAUGGGCGUAAAGCGCGCGCAGGCGGUUCUUA
rnacentral:rRNA from 1 species